AAGGAUCAUUACCGAAUUGCCAACAUGAGUUGUUGCUGGCCCUCAAAUGGGGGCAUGUGCACACUCUGUUUGCACAUCCACUCACACCUGUGCACCCUCUGUAGUUCUAUGGCCUGUGGGACUCUGUCCUCCUGUGCUGUGGUUCUAUAUCUUUACACACACACACUGUAAUGAAGUAUCAUGGAAUGUAUGCCGCGUUUAACGCAAUACAAUACAACUUUCAGCAACGGAUCUCUUGGCUCUCGCAUCGAUGAAGAACGCAGCGUAGCCAGCACCGAUGUGGAAGUAAAAGUCGUAACAAG
rnacentral:misc_RNA from 1 species